GGUCUCCCUCUCGGGGAAAGGGGAACUGAAUAAUGAUUUGAAAACUUGCUCAGCAGCAUCAAGCCCGCUUGACUGGGUUAGAAAGAAAAAACCAAAACAAAACAAGUGACUUCCCUGAAGUGACCAGUGACCGCAGUCGUGGCAGGAUUAUGCAGAACUGGAGUGGGCUGAAUGAUUGGAAAGACAGCCUGUCUGCUGGUUACCUAAAAUAACAUCGUUGGUGGAUAUCAGCAAAUCACACAUGGUCGAGAUGGGGAGACUGACAGUCAGCCCCUGGCAAGCGUGUUUGCACCUCCGCCUCGGGGCCGCAGGAACCUGGACUCAGGGACUAUUUAGACAACACUGAGUUGGAGGAGAAGACUACCAACUGCUCUGGAUUGAUGACACCGUUUGGGCGUAAAAUGGGCAGAAGGAGGAUGGUAGGAAGAAAAGCAGGAGAGAUGUUGCUGCCUCUUCUCAGAGGUAACACGAGCUGCCUAAACCUCUGCUGAGGAGAUAGAAGGCAAGCAUCCUGGGAGAGGAACCCCUUGGGAGAGUUUGAAGGAGACUGAGUGUCAAGGAAACCCGCAAACUACAGCAGAAAGGCAAGAAUGGAUUGUGGCUAGCUGGACACUGGGCCCUCCGCUGGCACUGUGGUCACUGCUGGCCCCAGUGCCACCAAUGCCACAGGACACUGGAUGCCAUAGCCACCAACUCCACCAGAAGGAGUUCCGAUUAUGUUGUUCAGUCUGGAUUUAGAAGUCUCAGGAUGAAGGGGAGAUGGGAGACUAGAAAACAGAAAUUGCUCAAAAAGGAAUUGAGCCCUUUGGAUGGGAAACAGGAACUCCGGUGGAAUGCAGGAGGAAGGAUUGAGCAAGAGAGAAGCAGCUGCCAACCUAUCCGAAUGAAAACAAACACCUUGAACACGACAGUGGACUUGAAAUGUUACUAAACUUUUUGG
rnacentral:lncRNA from 1 species